GUACCAUGUCCCGGGUCUGACCCCCCUGGACCCUCUGGGUUUAACUCUGCUGGUUCUGACCCUGGUGGUCUUCAGUUGGACAACACAGCCGCCAUUUUACUUUGAGGACUCUCGGCUACUUUUGCUCGAAUGAGUCUGGUGUUCAGGUUCUCCUUUGAACCUCCUUCCACACGUCUUGCAGGGGUAGACCGCUGUUGAACUGUACUGGUCCCAGAAUGAGGGGACACACUGUUUGCAGGACUGGUGUCCACAGAGUAAAGGGACUGGAUCCUUCACAGCCUCCUCACACACUGAACAGCUGGAGAUCUCCUCAGUCAGCUGACUGUAAGAAAGCACUGAAUCAAAUUACCUUGGUGUCCUCUGAGGAUGAGAGUCAGGUGGCUCCAACAUGGACAAAUCACUCUUCAAAGAGUCAUUAGGAGCUACACUCCUGAGAGAAAGAAGAAGAUAUUAUUUAAGUGUUUACGCUGCUGCUCCUUCACAGCUGCUGAGUUUCAGAGAGUCUUCGGUGACUGUAUGAGACGCCUUUACAGACGUGACAGCAUGUUGGUGUUUGACCCUCUGGAGACGAGACCGGCCUCAACAAGCUGCGUUAUAAACUCAACAUGAAGACUUCAGAUUAAUGUUGUAUAAAUGUUGUAAAAUUUAUACA